rnacentral:hammerhead_ribozyme from 1 species
UUCCAGCUGACGAAUCUCAAAUAGGACGAAACACGCGUCCUGGAU